rnacentral:lncRNA from 1 species
AUGUCAGUAAUGCAAGCUGGCAUCUCCUCAAAGAUAUGCAGACCUGGAUUAAAAUCAAAACUAAUAGCAGCCAAAGCAUCAGUUGCACAGUUUUGUUCACGAAUGAUGUGUCUAACUGAGCAAUUCCAAUUAGCACUCAUUUUUACUUUGCAGCAAUUGAUGAUACUGAACAGGGGGUGGGUAGAAAUAGUGAGAGAAUUAAGAAGAGCCACUGCAACCUUGGAAUCAC